CCUACGGGGCGCAGCAGUGAGGAAUAUUGGUCAAUGGACGAGAGUCUGAACCAGCCAAGUAGCGUGAAGGAUGACUGCCCUAUGGGUUGUAAACUUCUUUUAUAUGGGAAUAAAAUGUUCCACGUGUGGGAUUUUGUAUGUACCAUAUGAAUAAGGAUCGGCUAACUCCGUGCCAGCAGCCGCGGUAAUACGGAGGAUCCGAGCGUUAUCCGGAUUUAUUGGGUUUAAAGGGAGCGUAGGUGGAUUGUUAAGUCAGUGGUGAAAGUUUGCGGCUCAACCGUAAAAUUGCAGUUGAAACUGGCAGUCUUGAGUACAGUAGAGGUGGGCGGAAUUCGUGGUGUAGCGGUGAAAUGCUUAGAUAUCACGAAGAACUCCGAUUGCGAAGGCAGUUCACUGGACUGCAACUGACACUGAGGCUCGAAAGUGUGGGUAUCAAACAGGAUUAGAUACCCUAGUAGUC
rnacentral:rRNA from 1 species